rnacentral:rRNA from 1 species
GGAUGAACGCUGGCGGCGUGCUUAACACAUGCAAGUCGAACGAUGAAGCCUAGCUUGCUGGGUGGAUUAGUGGCGAACGGGUGAGUAACACGUGAGUAACCUGCCCUUAACUCUGGGAUAAGCCUGGGAAACUGGGUCUAAUACCGGAUAGGAGCGCCUACCGCAUGGUGGGUGUUGGAAAGAUUUAUCGGUUUUGGAUGGACUCGCGGCCUAUCAGCUUGUUGGUGAGGUAAUGGCUCACCAAGGCGACGACGGGUAGCCGGCCUGAGAGGGUGACCGGCCACACUGGGACUGAGACACGGCCCAGACUCCUACGGGAGGCAGCAGUGGGGAAUAUUGCACAAUGGGCGAAAGCCUGAUGCAGCGACGCCGCGUGAGGGAUGACGGCCUUCGGGUUGUAAACCUCUUUCAGUAGGGAAGAAGCGAAAGUGACGGUACCUGCAGAAGAAGCACCGGCUAACUACGUG